UUAUGUAGCGUGAGCGUGCUAAGGUAGUGUAAUAAUUAGCCUUUUAAUUGGAGGCCAGUGAAUGGCAAGACUAGGAACACCUUUACUUUGUGGUGUUAAAAAAACUUUUCGUCUAAGUGAAAAGACUUAGAUAACAAAGGAAUGACGAAAAGACCCCGCGGAACUUUACCUCUUCUCGCGCUUCUGUUUAUACACUUAAGAGUGCUUAAGGUUUGAUUGGGGCAAUCUCGGAAUCAUCAAAGCUUCCGAUUCUUUAGAAAACACAUCCAAAACUUCUUAAGGACCAAAAAGAAGCUACCCCGGGGAUAACAGCGUAAUCCAACUCAAGAGUACAUAUCGAAAGUUGGGUUUGCGACCUCGAAUGUUAGGCUUAAGGAUAUCCACAUUAGUGCUAACCGCUAUGACAGGAUAGUCUGUUCGACUAUUAUACCCUUACACGAGCUGAGUUAAGAACCCGAUUA
rnacentral:rRNA from 1 species